ensembl:lncRNA
ACCACUUACAGCAGGGCUCAGGGCUGGGGAGCUGCUGGAACGGGUGGUCCUCUGCCGCAAGCCCCGCUCUGCCUUGCUCCCAUGGCACCAGGAGACCUGGAUACCUACUGGUCCGGCACUGCACCCAUCUGCAUGGGGGGCUGCAAGGGGAAGCAUAAGGAGCUGAAGAGGAGCCAGUGUGGGAAUGGCAGCUGCUGCUGGCUGGGCUACAAGUCCUUCUGCCGAGUGAACUGCGGGCGGCCCGAGGCGGACUUCAACUCAGUGGUGUAUGGCAAUGACUGGUGGGUGGGCUCCGUGGUGCGCUACAGCUGCCGGCCCGGCUUCCUGCUGCUGGGGGACCCGGCCAGCGCCUGCCAGUCCGACGGCCGCUGGACGCCCAAGCCCACCUGCCUCCGGAUCUGCCUGCGAGGCCGGAUCGAGAUCAGCGAGCGGGACAUCAGCGGGAGGUGCUCGUCGUCCUGCAGCACCCAGAGCCACCUGGGAGCCUCCCUGCACCGCGGCUGCAUCAAGAUCUCCUCCUGCAGCACCAAACGCUCGGGCUGGGUGCGCUGGUUCCUGCGCUGCGAUGUCUGCGAGUGCGACUGCCACGUGCCCUGCGGGGAGACCCGGUAGCGGUGCCCACCUCUGCUUCUUCCUGGUAGAGCUGAGCCUUCUGCGCUGAGGUCUGCUGGCCACGCAUCUCCAGUGCUGGGCUCUUCCUUUCCAUAAUCUCCAUCCAUCCUGAUGCUGUCAUCUGGGAGAAGAGGUUUGGGACUUGCUGCCUUCCUGCCUGGUCCCAUCGCACAGCGUGCAGGGAAUGCUGUGGGCAGCAGGAGCAGGGCAGCUGCAUUGAGGACUUGGAGACCUCCGUGUCUCAGCCGUUCUUCCUGGCUGCUCCCCGGAGAAGGCUCACAUCCUCUUCUAGCAGGGAGGCAGUGCUGUGCCUGUCCUGCAGGCUGCCGUUUCUCUCUGCCAGCUAUUUCCUGCCCCUGUGUGCAGUCCUGCUGUCCUGCUGCUCCAGCCGUGCAGGCAGGGUGGUGGGGCUGCUGUGCAUGGUGCCUGCAGGCUGGGGCUGCUCCUUCCUGCAGUGUGUGGUUUUGCUCCGAGCCCCCCCCAUCCUCCCCAGGGACAUCUCUGGGUAGCUGAUGCCUUGCAGCCGGGACAGGAGAUGCAAGGGGCUGUCCUAAAGUGCACAAGACCCCUCCUUGGUCCUGGGUUCCUUGGGAUCCCAACCCUCAGCCCUUCAUUCUGCCCCAUGUCCCCUCAUGUCCGACUGUUGUGAUGGUCUCUGCAUGCCACGUGCUCCCCAGAGACACCUUGGAUCCCUCUGAAGCAGGAAUGGAAGAGCCAGAAUUGUUAUUCCCUGGGGAGGAAGAGGGGCAGGAGCAUGUGUAAUGGAAUCAGCAGGGGAAACGGGCCCAGCAGCAGCA